UGGCCGUUUCUGAAAUGGCAUACUACAUACUGCUCGUAUACUGAUCGUGACGUAAAAGUAUAUACAUCCAGAGCUCACUACGUCGGAUACUGUAUCCCAUAAUGCAACGCGGCACCGUUGGAAAAAAAACGUUGAACAUUUCGAAUAAUGGCGGCGGAAAAUGCGAGCGAUGAAUAUAAAUGGACUGAUGUAGACACCGCAGCUCUCAUCAGUUGGAGAUCUACGAAUGAGGGCAUGUUCACGGGCAGGAGGAAUGCGGCGCAGAU